rnacentral:tRNA from 1 species
GGGCCGGUAGCUCAGCUGGUAGAGCAUCUGACUUUUAAUCAGGUGGUCGCGGGUUCGACUCCCGCCCGGCUCA